CGCGUAGGUGGCGGCAUAAGGCUGUGGUGAAAGUCUGGGGCUCAACUCCAGAUCGGCCGCGGCGACUGUGUCGCUUGGGCACCGUAGAGGCAGAUGGAAUUCCGGGUGUAGCGGUGGAAUGCGUAGAGAUCCGGAAGAACACCAGUGGCGAAGGCGGUCUGCUGGGCGGUGAGCUCGCGAGAGCUCAAUAGCCGACACUGAGGCGCGACAGCGUGGGGAGCAAACAGGAUUAGAUACCCUGGUAGUCCACGCCGUAAACGAUGGGCACUAGGUGCUCCGGGGAGCGACCCUUGGAGUACCGGCGCUAACGCAUGAAGUGCCCCGCCUGGGGAGUACGGCCGCAAGGCUGAA
rnacentral:rRNA from 1 species